rnacentral:tRNA from 1 species
GCAUUCGUGGUGUAGCGGUAACAUUGGGUCUUCCCAUGGCCUAGCUCCGGGUUCGACUCCCAGCGGAUGCA